CGGGACGUCCGUGCCAGCGUUCGACGCCGCCGUCGUCGUCACCGUCGACCGUCCACAGUGCACAGCACAGUCGCUAGUCAGUAGUGUGCGAGACACGCGCCGACCACAACGUGCUUUUGUGUAUUCGCCAGUGUGCGUGUGCUUGUGUUAAGUGUGUGCGCAGACUACGCGUUCGUCUAUAUUUACAUGUAUCAUUAUUGUGUAUUGUAAUAUAUUUUUUUUUUUUGAUUUGUCGGGAAAAAAACAAAAUUGUCGGGUUAGCCGCCGUCGCGGAAUGCCCGAUAACCCGUAGAUCGAAUAGAAUAAUACCUAUAUAUUAAAGUUUUUUUUUUUUUUUAUACCGCGACAAUUUUAGAAACAACGACCGACUAGUUGUCUCAGUCCCGUAUACAUUUAAUACUGCAGCAGUGACAACUGGGAUACCCAAUAGAUUAUUAUAAUACAAAGCAGAAGAAAAAGUUAGAAAAAAAUCACUGGUCGCCGACUCGACCGUCAUGGGCGAAACGUAGCGAGCCGGUUUAUCCGAUCGACUGGCCGAGUUAUUCUGACACGAGUUACACAAUAUUAUUAUUGUUAAACGUUACGCGAAUCGAGCGUCCGACAGUGUGGAUCACCGAAGUAACGUCAUGCACGUGAUGUUGGCCGCGUGGACACUGCUCGGCGUGGCCGUCUCGUCCUCGUCAUCGCCGGCGUCGUCGUCGGACCCGUGGCCGGCGGCCGUGUCGUCGUCUCCCGACGAGUCCAACGAUUCGUACACGACGGCCUAUCUGAACGUCACGUGCUACGACGUCGCCACCGGGGCCGUCAUCCAGUCCGAUAAGUCCGAGAUCGGCAAGUUCGGCGAGUAUCACGUGGGUACCGCGUCCGGUCGGCUUGUGCAGAUGUUGGGCAUGGACGGCGACCGCAACGGGUGCGCUCCGCCCGUGCGCGUUGCCCCCGAUCCGACUUUUGGGUCCGGUCCUUGGAUAGCGUUGGUGCGACGGGGCAAGUGCAGUUUUCAGAUCAAAGUGGACAACGCCCGCCGGGCCGGCGCCUCCGCCAUAAUCGUGUACAACGACCGCGAGGCCACGGACCUCGACAAAAUGAAACUUCUGCCCUCCGAUCCCAGAAACGUAAGCGCGGUUUUCACGUACAAGUGGAAGGGCGAAGACAUGGCUAGGAUGUUGGAAGACAAGACCAGGCGGGUGGUAGUCAAAAUCACCAUAGCCAGCCACUGCAACAGACCUUACGCCAACAUAAAUAGAACGUCCGUGCUGUUCGUGAGCAUUUCGUUCAUCGUGCUGAUGGUCAUAUCUCUAGCGUGGCUCGUGUUUUACUACAUCCAAAGGUUCCGGUAUAUACACGCCAAAGAUCAGCUGUCGAGGCGAUUGUGUAACGCAGCCAAAAAAGCACUGUCCAAGAUACCCACAAAGCACAUCAAGAUGGACGACAAGGAAAUCAUUGGAGACGGCGACUGUUGUGCCGUUUGCAUUGAACCGUACAAACCGUCCGAAGUGGUGCGAAUACUGCCGUGUCGACACGAAUUUCACAAGGGCUGCGUUGACCCAUGGCUGUUGGAGCACCGAACGUGUCCCAUGUGCAAGAUGGACAUUCUCAAACACUACGGGUUUCUGUUCACCGGCAGCCAAGAGAGUUUCCUGCAUGUGGACGUAGAGGAGGCCACCAACGAUUUCGACGUGUACCAGUACUCGAGAAGUCGAAGCUUCAUGGAUACGGCACAAAACUCGAGAACGAUACCUGACGUUGCAGCAGUGGCGGCGGUUACAUUCGAGUCUCAUAGCCGGUCCUCGACGCCGGACGAAUUAACUCCAGCGUUACCGGCACAACCAGCCGCCUUCUCCAAUAACCGAUCCACGUCGUUCGGUGAGUACCCAAAGUCCACUGCACCUAGAGUUGUAACCGUCGACGAUACUGUCCAGUAUUAAUGUACGACUACAAUAGUUUGAUGGCCGAUACACACUCAAAACAUAUAAUAUAUUUAUGUAUAAUGAUAGUAACAAAUUCAUAAGACUGUUGUAUAACGUGCUUGGUUCACGUACUGGAAAUCUAUUCGACUCAGAUUGGUGGCACAGACAUCUAGGGCCUAUACGGCAGACACGUUCUUCAGAUGGAUUCUGAAACAUUUAAACGACGAUUCAGAACGAAUGUGAUACUAGCCAUUAAGACAAAUUAGACUUUGUAAUAAUAGAAUGUAUUGUAAUUUUAAGUCUUUAUCAAUGAGAUAGAAAUAGGCUUAUUGUUAGGCACAAAUGUAAAAAAAAAAUAUUAACGAAGACAACUUCUUUUAAAUUAUUGAAGCUGGAAAAUUAUACCUAGUCAGUAUUCCUAUAUGUUAGUCUUCUGAUUAUGACUGGCAUAGUUAGACUUAAAUUUUAAAUGGUAAUUUUUGUAACUAUAUUCUAUAUAG